AGAGAAUAAAAUAGUACAAUUUGCAUUGCACAGAAUCACUUGCUUAGGGAUACUUCACCCAAAUUACAAAAUGGCAUUAUUGGAUUCCUUAACCUGUAAUUCUAUUGACCAGGUAUGACAGAAAUCCAUGCUUUGGUUAAGUUUCCUAAUGUCAUGGUACCUACAGUUGAAGUUGGAAGUUUACAUACACUUUAGCCAACUACAUUUGUUACAAUUCCUGACAUUUUAAUCCUAGUAAAAAUUCCCUGUUUUAGGUCAGUUAGGAUCACCACUGAUUUAUUUCAGCUUUUAUUUAUUUUUUAUUUUAUUUUUUUCUUUAUUUAACUAGGCGAGUCAGUCAAUGACGGCCUAGGAACAGUGGGUUAACUGCCUGUUCAGGGGCAGAACGACAGAUUUGUACCUUGUCGGCUCGGGGGUUUGAACUUGCAACCUUCCGGUUACUAGUCUAGCACUCUAACCACUAGGUUACCCUGCCGCCCCUUCAUCACAUUCCCAGUGGGUCAGAAGUUUACAUACACUCAAUUAGUAUGUUAGCAUUGCCUGUAAAUUGUUUUACUUCGGUCAAACAUUUCAGGUAGCCUUCCACAAGCUUCCCACAAUAAGUUGGGUGAAUUUUGGCCCAUUCCUCCAGACAGAGCUGGUGUAAGUGAGUCACGUUUGUAGGCCUCCUAGGCCUCCUAUCUCGUACACGCUUUUUCGGUUCUGCCCACAAAUUCUCUAUGGGAUUGAGGUCAGGGCUUUGUGAUGGCAACUCCAAUACCUUGAGUUUGUUGUCCUUAAAAGCCAUUUUGCCACAACUUUGGAAGUAUGCUUAGGGUCAUUUGUGCAUUUGGAAGACCCAUUUGUGACCGCUUUAACUUCCUGACUGAUGUCUUGAGAUGUUGCUUCAAUAUAUGCACAAUUUUCCUUUCUCAUUAUGCCAUCUAUUUUGUGAAGUGCACCAGUCCCUACUGCAGCAAAGCACCCCCACAACAUGAUGCUGCCACCCCCGUGCUUCACAGUUGGGAUGGUGUUCUUCGGCUUGCAAUCCUCACCCUUUUUCCUCCAAACAUAACGAUGGUCAUUAUGGCCAAACAGUUCUAUUUUUGUUUUAUCAGACCAGAGGACAUUUCUCCAAAAAGUAAGAUCUUUGUCCCCAUGUGCAGUUCCAAGCCGUGUUUGAACUUGCGUACUAUUGUUUGUACAGAUGAACGUGGUACCUUCAGGCGUUUGGAAAUUGCUCCCAAGGGUGAACCAGACUUGUGGAGGUCUACACAUUUUUUUCUGAGGUCUUGGCUGAUUUAUUUUGAUUUUCCCAUGAUGUCAAGCAAAGAGGCACGGAGUUUGAAGCGCCCCGUGCCACCGCUGCCUCUCACAGAUGAGUGACUUGUGGGGCUAGUCGCUCCUCGGGGACCUGCUCGGUCAGUAGGGAAGAAAGAGGAACACCCAGUCUCAGGGCUGGUUUCAGGUCAACAGGACCAUGACCCCUAUGGCCCACAAACACACAGAUAAUCACCACGGCUGGACUUAAGUGUAACAAAUUACAGCCACGCUCCAGGAAAGAGACAAGGGACUGUCCCAAAUGGCCUCCUAUUCCCUAUGUACUGCACUAUACUUUUGACCAUUCCCCAUAGGGGUCUGGUUAAAAGUAGAGUACUAUAUAUGGAAUAGGGUGCCAUUUGGACAUACAGUCUCCAAGGCCUCCAGGAAAUACUUUGAAUCAGUGUAAAUGAUGUCAAUCUGAAAGAAUAGAAUGAUUUUGAUUCAAGGGUACAAUACGCUUUACAAUAUGUGCUGAUAUACUAAAAAACUAAAAGGAAUUGUUUAAUUUACGUGUUUUAACUACUGCAUUAAUCGUUCCUAUGGCGAUGUUCUAUUGUUACAGACCCCGCUGGGGAUUGUCCUUUGACCUACAUCCUGGCAGGGUCCCCCACCCCUCUUUGUCACUGUUUAUUUGGUCUGCUCACACACUGGUUUGGAGCGCAGCUGUUGACAGACACUCAAGAGCACUAUGUGGACACUUAUUCAUGUCCAGCUGAACUCUGUGUACAAACACAGGGCCGUACUCAAAAACAAUGACACUUCCCAUACCUCACCAGAUUUACUGUAUCCAAUAGCUAUUUUACCAUUCAUAUACAUCAUAAUAUAUAAUAUAAUAAUAUAUGCCAUUUAGCUGACGCUUUUAUCCAAAGCGACUUACAGUCAUGUGUGCAUACAUUCUACGUAUGGGUGGUCCCGGGGAUCGAACCCACUACCCUGGCGUUACAAGCGCCAUGCUCUACCAACUGAGCUACAGAAGGAAGUUCGUCUCUGCUUACUCUAACUUUACUGUUUCUUAUCAUUCGCUUUAAGUUGGUUACUCUAACCUCAAAGUAGUGUUACAGAAAGACUAAUACUGUACAUAAUUUCCUAUGCAGAUUGUGUGGGGGCACACACACACACACUACAUGGCUAAAGGUAUGUGGACACCUGCUCAUCAAACAUCUCAUUCCAAAAUCAUGGGCAUUAAUAUGGAGUCCCCCUUUGCUGCUAUAACAGCUUCCACUCUGGGAAGGCUUUCCACUAUAUGUUGGAACUCAGGGGCCUAGCCCGAACCAUGAAAAACAACCCCAGACCAUUAUUGCUCCUCCACCAAACUUUACAGUUGGCACUAUGCAUUAGGGUAGGUAGCCUUCUCCUGGCGACCGCCAAACCCAGAUUCGGCCAUCGGACUGCCAGAUGGUGAAACAUGAUGCAUCACUCCGGAGAACACAUUUCCACGACUCCAGAGUCCAAUGGCGGCGAGCUUUAUCUUAGACUUGUGUGCGGCUGCUUGACCAUGGAAACCCAUUUCAUGAAGCUCCCAUCUAACAGUUUGUGUGCUGACGUUGCUUCCAUAGGCAGUUUGGAACUCAGUAGUGAGUGUUGCAACCUAGGACAGACAAUUUUGUUUCCACUUCACAAUAACAGCACUUACUGUUGACAGGGGCAACUCUAGCAGGGCAGAAUGUGAGAAACUGACUUGUUGGAAAGGGGGAUACUAGUCAGUUGUACAACUGAAUGCCUUCAACUGAAAUGUGUCUUCCGCAUUUAACCCAACCCCUCUGAAUCAGAGACGUGCAGGGGGUUGCCUUAAUCGACACCCACGGCACCCGGGGAAUAGUGGGUUGACUGCCUUGCUCAGGGACAGAAUGACAGAUUGUGACCUUGUCAGCUUGGGGAGUUGAUCCAGCAACCUUUCGGUUACUGGCCCAAUGCUCUAAACACUAGGCUACCGGGAAGGUGGCAUCCUAUGACUUUGCCAUGUUGCAAGUCACUGAGCUCUUCAGUACAGGCCAUUCUACUGCCAAUUUUUGUCUAUGGAGAUUGCAUGGUGGUGUGCUCGAUUUUAUACACCUGUCAGCAAUGGGUGUGGCUGAAAAUGGCAAAUCCACUAAUUUAAAGGGAUGUCCACAUACUUUUGACCAUGUAGUGUACAUCCCCGCUCACACACAUUGUCGUACAACAAACACUAUAAACACAGACUGACAGGCGGGUGGGUGUCUGUCCUCACACCUGUUGCCUGCCAUAAAGACUGCUGGGCGGGUUACCCUGUUGGGCCACCACUACAACAGCAGCAUUGUGCCUAGGAAGCCCUGACCACAGAUUGCAU